GUGGGGAAUAUUGGACAAUGGGCGAAAGCCUGAUCCAGCCAUGCCGCGUGUGUGAAGAAGGUCUUCGGAUUGUAAAGCACUUUAAGUUGGGAGGAAGGGCAGUAAGUUAAUACCUUGCUGUUUUGACGUUACCGACAGAAUAAGCACCGGCUAACUUCGUGCUAGCAGCCGCGGUAAUACGAAGGGUGCAAGCGUUAAUCGGAAUUACUGGGCGUAAAGCGCGCGUAGGUGGUUUUGUAAGUUGGAGGUGAAAUCACCGGGCUCAACCUGGGAACUGCCUACAAAACUGGAUGACUAGAGUACGGUAGAGGGUAGUGGAAUUUCCUGUGUAGCGGUGAAAUGCGUAGAUAUAGGAAGGAACACCAGUGGCGAAGGCGACUACCUGGACUGAUACUGACACUGAGGUGCGAAAGCGUGGGGAGCAAACAGGAUUAGAUACCCGUGUAGUCC
rnacentral:rRNA from 1 species